GUUUUUAAAGAGUUUUAACAGGCUAGGGCUUGCCAGCCACAACUCAUAAAAAUGUUCUUAUAAUUUUACCCUACUCUCUAAAAGCAUUGGAUAACUGCUGAAGUUUCUUUGCCACUUUUGGAUGCAAAGCCAAAUUCACGUCAGUUUCAGAGUUCACAAAUCAGAAUUUACAGCACUUCUUUUCCAGUCCUCUUCGUAUCCCCUGCUGGUUAUCUUGACGAAUCAAAUUACAACCCAUCUUAGCGGAGCCCUUGCUUCUCAGGCAGACCUGGUGUCUCCAGCUGAUGAUUUGUCCCUGUCUGAAGGAACUUCUGGCUCCAGCUGUGUGAUCGCUGCAUUGGGAAACACCUGGAGUCACAGUGUGAACACCCGACUGAUCCUCCAGUACCUUGAUUCAGAGAGAAGACAGAUUCUCAUUGCCAAGUCCCCUCUGGCUCCCUUCACCUCGUUUACCUACACCAUCAAGGCAGAAGGCCUGGUUCUUCAAGGCAAACAGAGGCCAUAGGAUACUGUGACCUUUGUCUACAGCUGAUGGGGCCAUGAUUUGUGAAAUGAAACAGGACCAUGCAGCUUGGAAGAAGGAAACAGAAGCAAACAUAAUGGGGAUUAAUUAGUUGAUUACUGUUGAGAUGGUAACAGAUUUGCUCCCUAGACCAUUGAGCCAGCGAUUUCAGACCUAGCAGGGAAGGUGAAGAUGAAGAAGCCUUUGUUCAGAUCUCUAGAUGUAUAGGGCUGAGGGCUUUGCUGCCAUGGGAUGUCAACAGCCAUAAUAAUAAUAAUUUGCACUUAUAUAGCACCUUUCAACUGGGAACCUCAAAGCGGUUUAACCACAUUAAUUAAUUAAAGUCCACAAUCCCCCUGGGGAGAGGAGGAGGAUGACUAACAAGAUUUGUAAUUACAGGAGGGAACAUUUCCGAAUAAAGUAUUGUCCACCAAAUAAAAAGAGUAGGUGUAAAGGAAUUGGGAGACUCCAAAGAGCAACUGAUUCAAAAGCAAAAUCACUGAAUGAUGGGGGAUAUUGGGGGCAGGGACGGGUGUGGGGGACUGUUCUUGUGUCAGAGGGAGGUCGAUGGCCUCAGAAUUCACUGACAGGUUCAGAUCCAGCAGAGAAGCCGUGCAUGUAUGAUAUUAUUGGCAUUUGGAAGGUUAUUAGUGGCAUAAAUAUUGGAGUGGAAAUUCCCAUUUUCCUGGUGUAUUGUAUGUAGCCUUGCAAAACAAAGUGAAAUUCAUGCAGUAUUAAAUAAAGGAUGAAAGAUUUCUUUAGAUUUAAAGCCCAAAAGCAAUAGGAUGUGUGCUUCAUCCUCAAGACGUACACUAAAAAAGGACUAACACAUAAGUAGCUAUGACACAAAGCAGAAUAAAAUAAAAUAACAGAAUAGAUGUGCCUCGAAGCCCCACACUGCAAGGGCAGGAGGAGGAGCAUCUCAUUGGCCUGGAGCCAACCAGGGAAAAUAUUCCUGGUGCAGCAGGUGUAGGGGGCAUCAGAGAAAAAGAAAGACUUGUGUAGGCCCCGAACUGGCAGGGACAGCAAGUACAUGAGACUAAGGCCACAUGUCCCCUCUGAUGGAGGUAUAUUUUGAGAACUUAUGGUCUUCCGUAGAAUAUAUAUGUGAAAAACCAUACUGAGUUUUGCAACUGAUUAAAUGUACAUUUCCCGUGAACUCUCAUGAAUUGAGUCAAACAUGAAAGUAUUUGAGAAGUUAUUGAUGGGGUUCAGGGCAUGCUAUCCCAAAUGUGGGAAAACAGCAAAAGCAAAAGUCAGUAUCUCCUUCUCCUCUCUCCUUAAGCAGGUCAUAAAACCUAGCUGUCCUUCCCUUGAAGAGGGUCAUAAAGCCUUCAUUCCCGAGGUGCCCUCCCUAUACCCAGAGGAAAGGAAUGUCCUUAUCUCUGAAGACACAGGGAGGCAGAAAGGAAUAUGAACAACCCCUCCAUUUAUUACCAUGAGAUCAUACCCAUUUAUCUUCCAGUCACACUUCUACAGGACUGUCCAGUCUUCAUCAAAUUUGUGCAUAAAAAUGCACAGCCUGCACUGUUUCUUUGAGUUGUCAUUUAUGAAGGCUUCUGUGUCACAUAAAACUUAUGUCAAAUAAAUGUACAUGCUUUUUUCUUAUUAACCUUUUAUUAUAAAGGCCCUACCCAUGAUCUUUGUAAUGGGUGAGGUGAAGAUAAUACAUGUUUCCCCUACAGUUUCUGGUGCCCCAUAUGGGAUGGCUGAGACACCCUAGUCACUCUGGAGCCUGCAGAUAAGAUCCUGGGACACCUGGCAAAAGCCCAGGGAAUAAAUUCUUAGCAAGGUCAACUGUCUUCUUGAACCAAGUUCUAGAGAACUCACUCUAGAGAAGAAGAUAAAAAUUUCCCCUGUCUUUUCCUUUCCAAAUUUAGGAAAGAAACACGUGUUUAGGUUGUAAUUCUCGGGCUAAACUUGGCUUUAAGGAUAGCUCCUCUUUCCUUGUUUGUCUCCUUUUACGUUUAAAAUUUGGCUUGUCUUUCCAUCUGUUGGGACAUACAUCUUAUGAAUUUGCACGUGUAGGCAGACAGGUUCAGACUUCAGAUCCCAAGCAGGUGGCUGAAUAGAAAUUGGCUUGCACCCAUUAGUGGUUAAUGUACCUACUGGCACCAGCUCUUGAGUCUGUGUUUUUCUUUGGUCGUCUUUGGGAGUACUGCGAUUCUUUGACUAGAUGCAAGUCAAUUAGUGCCUUUAGUUUAAGAGAAGAAAACUGUAAAUAAAUGCAUAUGUUUGGUUCCUGUUAGCCUAUGUUUUGUUUUGUAAUAAGGUGUGAGUCUUGAACCUUGUGAUUGGAGAGGAGAAGAUAACUACUUUCCCCUACAUUGGGAAAGAAAUUGUUUAAUUGCUAUAACUCAGUUUGGUUUCUUCUCACCUUCACUGUACAUAAGAAAAAACCUAAAAGGUUCACAUAUUAAAAUGGGUUACUCAAAAGUAUCAUAGUAAGAGGAAUACAUAUCCUGAUCCCACAUGUCAAAGUUUGUUUUCCUCUCUGAGACUGGUUAACCUCAGGAAACUUUAAGGCAGUACUCUACCCCUACUCCUGUGGGUGACAAACCCACUCAGUCCUCUCUACCUUUGAGCCCCAUAUGCAGGCCAUCAGCACAGUCCUGAUGCUAAGAUAGCCCUCAGCACCACUUUGCAUGUGGAGCACCUGCUGGUGCCUAGCAUGUGAUGUGUACCAUCCUUGCUGAUCCCAACAGCAAUCUCGUGAGGCGAGUCUACAUAAUGGCCCU
ensembl:lincRNA